GUCCAAGAUGGCGAGCAUUCAGCCAUUCCAUAAAGGAACGUCCGCCCAAGAUGGAAAUCAGGACCGAGCGUCCAGCCAUUCAAGGAACGAACGUCCUCCCAAGAUGGCACGUCCGUCAAAGAUGGCGAGCGUCCAGCCAUUCAAUAAAUGAACGUCCGCCCAAGUUGGAAAUCAUGACCGAGCGUCCAGCCGAUCAAGGAACGAACGUCCUCCCAAGAUGGCACGUCCGUCUAAGAUGGCGAGCGUCCAGCCAUUCCAUAAAGGAACGUCCGCCCAAUAUGGCAACCAGGACCGAGCGUCCAGCCAUUCAAGAAACGAACGACCUCCCAAGAUGGCACGUCCGUCCAAGAUAGCGAGCGUCCAGCGGUUCAUGAAACGAACGUCCGCCCAAGAUGGCAAUCAGGACCGAGCGUCCGUCCAGUGUGACGGACAGUAGAACCAGAUGGACGCUCACCCAGGUUGACAUCCGUGGCCGACCAUCAAUCCCAACCGACCCGCACUUUGUCGACUACCCGAUAAAACGUUAAUGACACAUUAAAGUCCUUAAUAAAGAUUAAGGUAUUAUUGGGCCGUUUCCAGGCCCCCAAAAGGUAAAAGCUCAUUACAAUCAGUAUAAAUAAAGGUUUCAGGUAUCGCCUUGUGAAUAUUGGGCACUACCGCUCGGUGGAACUUUGGGCACUACCCCAGCCACAGUCACGAGGUUAAUCCGUUAUCACUCACCUUGGAUCAUAUGGAAGCACCCAAGACUAGGACCUCCUGCUAC